rnacentral:misc_RNA from 1 species
CGGCAGCGGAGGAGGAGCAG